AUGGCCGCCGUCGCCCCCGAUGCCGGAGAGUGGUCUGCCGCUGCGCGGCUCCGCCUCGUGUGGCGCGUCGUGCGGGCGGCGGAGCUCCUAGCCCUGUCCGUCGUCCUCUCCCGCUCCUUCCUCCACCUCCCCUACGCCGCGUCUGCGGCCUCCUCUGCCCUCCGCCUCGCCGCCUCACUCCUCCUCCACCCGCGCUCCAUCUUCGUCAUCGCCAACGCCAUCGUGUUCCUCCUCUACGUCUUCUCGCGCCGCGACCCGUCGUCCUCUUCCUCUGCCUCCGACCAGGACGCCCAGGACCAGUUCCUUUCCUUCACCGCCACACCGCUCCUGUCGCCAUCGACCACAGAGGCGCCGGCUCUGGCGCCCGAGACGGACGCGGUGUUCGAGGACAAGCAGGCGGUGCACGUGACGGUGCGCGCCCCGCGGCGGAGCAGGUCGGAGAAAAUCGGCGCCGGAAAGCAUGGCGGGAGGAGGAGGGCGGGAUCGCCUGAUAUGCGUCGGUCUGAUUCGGAGAACGGCCAGAGGCGGCGGUCGACCUCGUCGGCGGCUCCAGAGGAAUGCGGUGCGGAGGACGAGAAGGAGGAGUUCCGGAGGGCAGUCGAGGCGUUCAUCGCCAAGCAGCAGACGCGGUUUCACCGCGAGGAGUCAUUUGUCUUGGUCGCCGGCGCCGGAGACGAUGCUCAGGCGAUCACCGUAGCUGUGAAGUGA
rnacentral:rRNA from 1 species